GAUGAACGCUGGCGGCGUGCUUAACACAUGCAAGUCGAACGGAAAGGCCCAAGCUUGCUUGGGUACUCGAGUGGCGAACGGGUGAGUAACACGUGGGUGAUCUGCCCUGCACUUCGGGAUAAGCCUGGGAAACUGGGUCUAAUACCGGAUAGGACGAUGGUUUGGAUGCCAUUGUGGAAAGUUUUUUCGGUGUGGGAUGAGCUCGCGGCCUAUCAGCUUGUUGGUGGGGUAAUGACCUACCAAGGCGUCGACGGGUAGCCGGCCUGAGAGGGUGUACGGCCACAUUGGGACUGAGAUACGGCCCAGACUCCUACGGGAGGCAGCAGUGGGGAAUAUUGCACAAUGGGCGCAAGCCUGAUGCAGCGACGCCGCGUGGGGGAUGACGGCCUUCGGGUUGUAAACUCCCUUCGCUAGGGACGAAGCGUUUUUGUGACGGUACCUGGAGAAGAAGCACCGGCUAACUACGUG
rnacentral:rRNA from 1 species